AUAACGGGCCAAUUUCAAGUUGUGAGAUACGACCGGUGCAAAUCAUGGUCGCAGUGCAACUUUGCGCGGGUGAUUUGCGCGCUCUCUGCGACCACGAGAUGCGUCCGAUCUCAAGUCGAUAAAGUGCAAUGUCGCAGCGUAGCAGCAACUUUUGUCCGUGAUGCAAAAUUUUGCGCCGGUCACGUGACUUUCGAAAUGUCAAAUUUUAAUUUUGAGUUUGGCUUUUGUGUUCAAAGUGAAAAGAAAAAUCAAGGAACGAUUAAAAAUGCCGGCGGUCGAAAAACUGGAUGAAAUACAAGUGCUGAUGAGAUUUAAAAGCGUUGAGACAAUUUGUUUGACUCAUCUUUGGGGUUUGAAAAAGACUUUCACUGAUUCAAUUUCUCCGAGAAAGGACCUAGAACCAGGUCAUAAAUUUUGUUCAAGAACAGGGACAGUGGAUGAUUUGAAAAAGAAAUUUGAAGUCAGUGAACAAGUGCAAAGCUUUUGUUAAUAAUGCUGUUAAACUGGAAUUGUCGAAAAGCCCUCCAACAUUUUACGAGAAGAAAGUGCUUUCUUUUAUAGAAACUUGAUCAAAACCGAUUUAAGAAGUUUCAAAAACUAAAAUUAGUAACAGGCAGUUACUUUAAACUUACCUCUUCAAAUUUUAUAGUUAAAACGGUGACUUUAAUACUUACAUUUGUGUAAAUUUUCAGUGUGGAUAUACAUAACCCUACCAUACUAAAAAAAGCUGUAGUUCAUGAAUUUUGUAUUAUUUAUUUCAGUACAAAUAAUGUAUUUUGGUACAUUUUCAGACAAAUAUAUUCUUUUACAGUU